AUGGGGAGAAAGUUGCCCCCUUUUGCCCCGGCCGUGGUGUCGACGCAGACGGCGGCCGGAAGGAAACGCAAAACAGCCUCCUUGGCUCCGCUCACCCCCCGGAAGCGCUGGGUGCGGGCAAGCGGUGGCUGGGCGUCUCUGCCCAUCGACAUAAUCUGCCUCAUUCUCCGGCAGCUCGUCGCCAUCGGCGGCGGCGGCGACGUUGUGGACUACAUCGCCUUCCGCGCCGUCUGCUUCGGCUGGCGCGCCUGCACGCCCACGCCGCGUGACCCCACACUGCGGGAUCCGCGCCUCCGGCCGCGCGCCUGGGUUGCGCUGUGCGACGGUGACGCGGUACGCCCGGACGACGCCUGCGAGAUCCCCUUCUUCCACACGCGCACGGCCAGGUGCAUCCGCGUUCGCCUGCCAGAGCUCCGACGCCACAGAAUCGUCGGCUUCACCGACGGCCUCGUCAUCCUCCUGCACAAGAGCACCACCGCUGUCCGCGUGCUUCACCCCUUCACGCUUGUCGCCGUUGACCUCCCGCCCCUCGCCGCCGUGUACCGCGAGGUGAUCGGGCCAAAGAAGCACCAUCUGCUUGAAAUGAAUGCUGUGGUAUGCAGCAGCGCGACCUCCGCGAACUCCAUCGCUGUCAUGGUCUGGUUCCACUCGGCAAGGGUGGUGCUCGUCGCGGAGCCAGGUUCAGACUGGAAGGUACUCCAUCGAGGGAUUUAUGUUCGGAGCAUGCUGCAAUUCCAAGGAAGGCUCUACGCCACCUUCUCGGCUUCAAAAGAGAUCGUGCAGCUAUAUCCACCGAGACAACCACGGCUUGAGAAUUCGCUGGUGGUUGCUCGUAUUCCAGAUAUAUUUGGUGAGCACAUUUUCUGUCAGUUUUUCCUGGUGGAGUCUGGUGGACGAAUGCUGCUCGUUGUACAGUAUCCCCCUGGUCAUGGAAGAAAGAUGGAAUGGUCACGACAAGUAGGCUUCAGGCUCUAUGCAGUGGAUUUGUGCAGCAAAGGCAUUGGUAACUUGAUUCCGGUGAGCUGCCUAGGUGAUCGUGCGUUGUUUCUCAACAGCGAUCGAUGCCUGGCUGUUUCGGCCAGGGACCUCCCUUCUCUGAGCAGCAACUCCAUCUACUUCUCUUUACCGGACAGCCCUGUUGUGGUGCACUCAUUGAGGACUGGAUUGUCGGAGCAGUUGGCGGAGCACUGCCAAAUACACAACUCGGUGGAUAGGAUCCGCCCCUCUGUGCGCCCAUUUAGCAUUGUUGAUCAUCUUCUCACCUACUGCCAUCCUUCUCACUGGACUGAAGGACUCAUGUUUCAUGAGUACCAUCAUAUACCUGAUUCUUUCAAGGAAUUGAGGAAGAACAUCCAGGCAAAAGAUUCACGACUGCGGAUUCCGCGCAUCAUGGGCCAGUGA
rnacentral:rRNA from 1 species